rfam:Bacillus cereus Rock3-44 chromosome, whole genome shotgun sequence.
ACGAUGUUCCGCUGUAAUUUAUUAAUGACUUUAUAAGAGCAUCUG